rnacentral:rRNA from 2 species
AGAUUAAGUUAUUAAGGGCGCACGGUGGAUGCCUUGGCACUAGAAGCCGAUGAAGGACGUUACUAACGACGAUAUGCUUUGGGGAGCUGUAAGUAAGCUUUGAUCCAGAGAUUUCCGAAUGGGGAAACCCAGCAUGAGUUAUGUCAUGUUAUCGAUAUGUGAAUACAUAGCAUAUCAGAAGGCACACCCGGAGAACUGAAACAUCUUAGUACCCGGAGGAAGAGAAAGAAAAUUCGAUUCCCUUAGUAGCGGCGAGCGAAAUGGGAAGAGCCCAAACCAACAAGCUUGCUUGUUGGGGUUGUAGGACACUCUAUACGGAGUUACAAAGGACGACAUUAGACGAAUCAUCUGGAAAGAU